AGAGUUUGAUCCUGGCUCAGAUUGAACGCUGGCGGCAGGCCUAACACAUGCAAGUCGAACGGUAACAGGAUGUGCUUGCACAUCGCUGACGAGUGGCGGACGGGUGAGUAAUGCUUAGGGAUCUGCCUCUGUGUGGGGGAUAACUAUUGGAAACGAUAGCUAAUACCGCAUAAUGUUUACGGACCAAAGGGGGCGUUUGCUCCCGCGCAGAGAGGAACCUAAGUGAGAUUAGCUAGUUGGUAAGGUAAUGGCUUACCAAGGCGACGAUCUCUAGCUGUUCUGAGAGGAAGAUCAGCCACACUGGGACUGAGACACGGCCCAGACUCCUACGGGAGGCAGCAGUGGGGAAUAUUGCACAAUGGGGGGAACCCUGAUGCAGCCAUGCCGCGUGUGUGAAGAAGGCCUUCGGGUUGUAAAGCACUUUCAGUUGUGAGGAAAGGUUAGUAGUUAAUACCUGCUAGCUGUGACGUUAGCAACAGAAGAAGCACCGGCUAACUCCGUGCCAGCAGCCGCGGUAAUACGGAGGGUGCGAGCGUUAAUCGGAAUUACUGGGCGUAAAGCGCACGCAGGCGGUUUGUUAAGCUAGAUGUGAAAGCCCCGAGCUCAACUUGGGAUGGUCAUUUAGAACUGGCAGACUAGAGUCUUGGAGAGGGGAGUGGAAUUUCUAGUGUAGCGGUGAAAUGCGUAGAUAUUAGAAGGAACAUCAGUGGCGAAGGCGACUCCCUGGCCAAAGACUGACGCUCAUGUGCGAAAGUGUGGGUAGCGAACAGGAUUAGAUACCCUGGUAGUCCACACCGUAAACGCUGUCUACUAGCUGUUUGUGAGUUUAACUCGUGAGUAGCGAAGCUAACGCGCUAAGUAGACCGCCUGGGGAGUACGGCCGCAAGGUUAAAACUCAAAUGAAUUGACGGGGGCCCGCACAACCGGUGGAACAUGUGGUUUAAUUCCAUGCCACGCCGAGGAACCUUACCUACUCUUUGCAUCCCAAGAACUUAACAAAAAUGCUUUUGUUGCCUUCUGGAAGUCUUAAAACAAGUGGUGCAUUGGCUGUCGUCACCUCCUGUUUGUGAAAAGUUUGGGUUUAAUCCCCCCAACCAAGGCCAACCCUUA
rnacentral:rRNA from 1 species